UCAAAGCUGCAAUUAAAACACAGGAAGCUUUUAAUAUGAAUUAAUUGGUGGGGGGGAAGAACUAUAAGUGACAAUUUAUUGGUGAGAAUUAUAGCACGCUUGCUACCUUCUAUGCAAAUAACAGUUCUUAGGUCUUCUCCUCACAUGCUGUUAUGAACCAAUGUCCAUCCUGUAACUUAAAACUCUUCCCUGGAAUAGCUCCGUUAAGAAGUCAAGGGAGGAAUCACUUAAGCAAGGAAGACCAAAGCCAAUCUCACAUGGAUACCUGGUGAUCUAGUGGAUAUUUUCCUUCUCAUAUUCAGAACUUGUAUGAACCAAGUUCUGGCCUCUCUUCAUCUACGGUAAACUUGGUCAUGCAAUUUAAUGGGGGGUUUUGUGGUGCCUGAUAGUUAUGCUAAUGGAGUGCUAACUUUGUGAUAUUUAAUGUUUAGUGUUAAUAGCAAAAGAUAAUAGCUCAGGCUUUAUUGCGUUGGAAAUUUUUAGUAUGUUAUUUAUAGAUCUGAAACCUACAAGAUAUGAUAUAAAAGCCUUCAAUAUGAAAAAUGUUACAUUUCUGAGCAGACAGUGAGAAAAUUGCCUUUUAGAGGUCAAAACUCCCAACGCCUCUGGCAACAUGGCCUUGAUGUCAUUUGACAGGGUGGAAACACAGCCCUUCAUGGGAAUAAACAGCCAAUACCUGCAUGAUUCAUUUUGUUAGGAGGGUUCUCCCAUUGUUGCUAGGCAAUAUUUGCUAGGUGGAUUAAAAAAAAAAAAAAACAACAACAAAAACCCCAACAACAAAAUCCCCAAAAUGCAACUGCUGUUUCCUCAGAAUAAUACUUCUUCUUGCAGGUUGUCUUGCUACUGAUACUGAUUUUUAUUCUUUUUUAAUAUUUUUUUUUUUAAAUUAAGUGGUAAUUUCUCCUUUCUGCAGAAUUACUAGGAGAAGCAUCAACUGCAUCCCGAGAGAUGCCUUCCCCUCUGGGAGGCAGGGAGGGGAAGAGGCGGGAAGGGGUUGUCACCUGGUCAGCAGAAGGUUUCCUUUCUGUCUCCCUCCCUCCGUACCUUCUUAGGGCUGUCUGUUUGGAAAGGCUCGGCUGUGUCGUCAUGUGCAAUUCUUAGAGAAGAAACAUGGCAGAGACCAGCAGACAUUCAUUUGAAAUGAUUUUCAUUCACUGCAUUCUGGAAUGGACUUGAAAGCAGGUCUCAGAGGCAACUUGUCCACGUCCCAAAUUACCAGGACAGUCUGCUGCACAGCCCCCUUGCUGGUCUGGGAGCUACUGGUCUGAUACUGACGGGGAGAUGGAACUGCAGGAGCCCAACGCUGGAGCCCUGGCUAAUUCCUGUGCUUUCCUAUGGGAGAAGAAAUACAAACGUUGGGGAAAAAACCUGGGAGGAAGUGUCAUGGUGGUGUGUGCAGCCUGCCAGCCUGCCUUCCUGGGAGACCCUACCGCCGCCUGCUGCGUGCCUGCUCCUCGGGUAAGCCCAAAAUGUUGUUGGUUCCAUAAUUAACCACAGUAGAAAUGUGGAGAAAAGGCA